rnacentral:rRNA from 1 species
AUUGAACGCUGGCGGCAUGCUUUACACAUGCAAGUCGAACGGCAGCGCGGGCUUCGGCCUGGCGGCGAGUGGCGAACGGGUGAGUAAUACAUCGGAACGUGCCCAGUAGUGGGGGAUAGCUCGGCGAAAGCCGGAUUAAUACCGCAUACGACCUGAGGGUGAAAGCGGGGGAUCUUCGGACCUCGCGCUAUUGGAGCGGCCGAUGGCAGAUUAGCUAGUUGGUGGGGUAAAGGCCUACCAAGGCGACGAUCUGUAGCUGGUCUGAGAGGACGACCAGCCACACUGGGACUGAGACACGGCCCAGACUCCUACGGGAGGCAGCAGUGGGGAAUUUUGGACAAUGGGCGAAAGCCUGAUCCAGCAAUGCCGCGUGUGUGAUGAAGGCCUUCGGGUUGUAAAGCACUUUUGGCGGGAACGAAAAGGACUGUGCCAAGACCACGGUUCGAAGACGGGACCCGCAGAAUAAGCACCGGCUAACUACGU